rnacentral:rRNA from 1 species
UACGGAGGGUGCAACCGUUGCUCGGACUUAUUGGGCGUAAAGCGCACGUAGGCGGCCUAGCAAGUCGGGUGUGAAAUCCCUCGGCUUAACCGAGGAAGUGCAUUCGAAACUACUGGGCUUGAAUACUGAAGAGGGUCUCGGAAUUCCCGGUGUAGAGGUGAAAUUCGUAGAUAUCGGGAGGAACACCAGUGGCGAAGGCGGAGACCUGGGCAGAUAUUGACGCUGAGGUGCGAAAGCGUGGGGAGCAAACAGG